ACACCUGGAUGUGCUCACUCAACCAAGAAUAUAGAGAAAGAGCUUCUGCCCUGAGACUCAGAAAAAUAUUCUCCUGUGCUUUGGUUCAGUAUAGAUUUCUAAACCCUGAUCAUUGCUUAAGAGAUAUUCACUGAGGGUCCUACGUCUCUGCAAUUUGUGUAUGAAUAACAGAAUAAUUUCCCUCUUUUGUUUCGCCUUUCCUGUUCCUGAAUCUAAAUAAAGAUGGCUUUUUAGUAUUAAAAGUGGAAGAAAAUUACAGGUAAUUAUCUUUGACGGUAAAAACGCUGUAAUCAGCGGGCUACAUGAAAAAUUACUCUAAUUAUGGCUGCAUUUAAGAGAAUGGAAAAAAACCUUCUUGUGGAUAAAAACCUUAAAUUGUCCCCAAUGUCUGCUUCAAAUUGGAUGGCACUGCAGCUGGAGGCUUUGUUCAGAAUUGAUCCUGGGGAGCUACGAACCCAAAGUUUCACAGUAGGAAGGGGGAAAAAAGAAAAGAAAACAUUUUUCCUAAUGUAACAAUGCGAAUGCUAGAAAAUGACAAGACUGAUCGGUUUUAAACCAUUCUGAAGACUGACUGAGCGUGGAAGUUGCUCAACAAAAAAAGGAACGGGUAUAUUGACAGAGUCUUGCUCUAUUGCCCAGGCUGCAACUGGUGUGAUCUCGGCUCACUACAACCUCUGCCUCCUGGGUUCAAGCGAUUCUCCUGCCUCAAGCUCCCAAGUAGCUGGGAUUACAAGCAUGCACCACCAUGCCUGGCUAAUUUUUGUAUUUUUAGUGGAGACGGGGUUUCGCCACAUUGGCCAGGGUGGUCUUGAACUCCUGACCUCAAGUGAUCCACCUGCCUUGGCCUCCCAAAGUGCUGGGAUUAUAAGCAUGAGCCACUGCACCCAGCCUUAUACUGAACUUUCAAUGGGUUCAAUUCCACUAGGAGCAUAAAGGCCACUGCAUAUGAGUUGUGGAAAGAAGAGAUUAGAAGAAGGAAGAACUUGAGAUGAGUUCCUCCCUUCAACAUUCUGUCUCCUCCUACCUAGCAUCUUCUUUCUUUUAGUCUUUCUAGAAUGUCCAUCUGUUUUUGGCCAUUGCGGAGAGAGAAGCUGAGCUUUAAAGGAGUAGGAGCUUCAAAGGCGUAGGAGCUUCAAAAUUCUUGUUUCUUCAUGUUUGAUCACCCUUCUAAACCUGUCUUCUGUUCCUUCUGCUAUUCUUUUUUCUUAGAGCAUAGGAAAGGGGAGCUUUUAAAUUAAUACUUAAAGCAUGGAAAAAAAGAACUUGAGAAGAAAGUAAAACAAGGGAGAUGAGGCUAGUAAAGUAAGGAAAAUGAAGAGGAAGAGGAGGAAGGGUUAGCUUCUAAAUUCCAAGUCAAAUUGAUAUGGAACAGGCAAGCCGCUUGUCUUACUUAAACUUCAGAAAAGGAUCUGCUGAAACUUGAUAGAAAUGGAAAGGGAAAUCCUUGGGGUGGGGAACCUCCAAACAUUAGUAAUGAUAUUGAACAACUCAAAGUAUUGAGGAAAUCUGCAGGCUACAUGCCUGAAGAUUACCCAUGCAGAUAGACCAAAAGGAUUAGAAUUAUCUGUUGAUAUUAGUAAUAUUUAUUGACAUCUAGCUAGUAUUGGUAAUUUUAAGUUUUAGAUUAAUUUCUUUGGUAAUAGCUAUGAUAUAUUUUAUAGACAAGAAUUAUAUCUAUAGGCUUGCUAUCAUAGGCUCUUUUAAUCAGCAUUAAUUUAGUCUACUGAUUUUUAGCACAUUUGAAUCAUUCACUUAUGCUAGGUAACUCAUUGCAAAAUAAAAAGAUGAUUCCUGUAUGUAUGGCAGCUAUACAUUAAGGAGGAGUCUACCAGAAUAUGAAAAAGUCAGCUGACCUAAAUAUUGCUGAGACAAAGGAAAACCCACUCCCUUGGAGGAGCAUGACCUUUUCCUGUAAUUCUUCCCACUGCUGUUGUUGAGCUCCUUGGAUCCUGGCUCCUGGACACCAUCAUCAAGAAGACUUUAUGGAUGGGCUGUCCACCCACUGAGAGAAGAGGAGCAUCAGCUACAGUUUCUCUCUAGAUUGCCUUCUUCAUUUUGAGUAAUGACUGUCAGCAGGGUCAGAUUAAACACAAAACAACUGGACAAUUGCUUGGAGGACUAAACUAUAAGGGCACUAACAUGUCAAUAGUAGGCUAACACAUCCAUGGAAAAUAUAUUUACCAGCUCUUCUCUCAGGGAGGAUUCUGUGUGGGGUUGGAAGUAAUGAUUUGUUAAAUUCCUUAGGGGUAGAAAGUAGGGCAUAAUCAGAAUAUAGAGGAAUAUGCUGUUUGACUUCAGGGUUUCUGUUUUUCUUACUAGGAUAUAUAAAACAGGGACUCUAGCUAGAUUGUUUAUGACCACAGAGGGUAGGCUGAGUGCUCCCAUGAUCUUCCUGCUUGGUUCUUGCCCAUACAGAGGUCAGCCUUUCCUCUAAUAAAGAUUGAACAAGUAGUGGUCUGAGGGAGACACCAAUUCAUUACCCUACAUGUCUCUUCUCUGCACUCCAGGGCUUUGAUAAUAAAGACACUGGCAGACUAUCUAUCUUCCAUUUCUAUAAUGUGAGCCCUUAGGGAGUCUUCGUUCACUUGGGGGUGAGGGUCAUUGCUCACAGAGUAGUUCAAGUCAAAUGGAACUUGAACUCUUUGCCUAUGGGCCUGGUGGUCAGACUCUGUGUUGAGUUCAUUAGAUUAUUGGAGACACAAGGUAGAGCUGGAUGCUUCAAAAAUAUUUGGCUAAAGGAUGACAUUGCUGGUUAUUUGUAGAUAAAGCCAUGAUGGAACCUGCUUGGAAUCAUGAAAUAUGGAACUGGUGGUCAUGUUUAAAAAUACAACUAAUAGUUAAGUACCUACUGGACACUGUAGAGACUUAGGGGCUAGACAGACAUGGUUCCUGCCCCCUUGGAGCUUACACUGUAGCUUCCCCUUAGGUAUGAAGAACAGUGGCUACAACUAACAAAUGGCCACAAAGAUAUAAUUGAGCCAGUGUUCCAAUUAUUAGGGUAAUUCCUAUUUCCUUAAUCAUUCCUAUUGACCAUGUUCUAUAAGCCUGCAUUCUAUAAAUGGCGUAUGACCAUGGGCUGUUUCCCCCCAGCAAGUUGUACAAAGUUCUGUGGUACCAGGGAAAGGGCUUAAGGUUAGCAGGGCCUCUGCGGAAGGACAUAUGAAGUGACUUGGGUUAGGAAACAGGAAGGGAUAGGAUUCAAGAACAGCUAUUGCUUCUGUUCUAUAUAGGAAACUGCAGCGUGAAAAAUGCUGGGCUGGGAAUUUUGAGACCUGGGUUUUAGUUUGUGUUCUAAUACUAACAAGCUAUGUGACUGUGGGUAAGUCAUUUCACAUUCCAUUUGGAUGCCUCUUGAGUGACUCCAGGCCUCUCCAGCUCUAAAACAUUAAGAUCAGGCCCUACGCUACAGCUGGCCAGUGUGUAAUUCUUCUGUUUCUAUGCUGUUAGGUCAAAUAGAUCUUCAAUAGUUACUUGAUUGUUAUUACUUUUUUCUGAAGUGGGUGUUUUAUCAAUGUUUUAGGAUACAGUGAGUCUGCUUCUCCCCUUUGGAGUUAGGAAGGUUGUAGGAAUAUACACUGUAGAGCAUAUGGGAGCUUUAUCCCCUCCUUUUUUCCCCGCUACCUUUCUCCCUCUCCUUCCCUUCAUCACAUUUCUAUUGAGCAUAUGCCAUUGCCGUGUACCAGGUGUGUGCUAGGUUUGGAGAUACAAGGUAAACCUGAGACUUUCCCAGUCUCCAGGAGACAAAACCCUAAUUUCUUUCAUCUGCUGUCUUUCUCUUUGGAAAGAAUCAACGAUAUCCCAGGGGAAUGUGCCCAUGUCCCAGGGUAACCAACUACAGACAGAUGCCCCAUUCUACUCAAGCAACUUUUAGAGUGCCUUGAGAUACACAUCAGAUAAUUAUGCAGGGCCAGGCAUGGUGCUGCACACUUGUAAUCACAGCACUUUGGGAGGCCGAGGCAGCAGAUUGCUUGAGCCCAGGAAUUCAAGUGUAGCCUAGGGAACAUGGCAAAACCCCAGCUCUACAAAAAAAUACACAAAUUAGCUGCGUGUGGUGGCCUAUGACAGGAGGCUGAGAUGGGAGGAUUGCUUGAGCCUGUGAGGUCGAGGCUGCAGUGAGCCGAGAUCAUGCCAUUACUCCAGCCUGGGUGACAUAGGGAGACCCUGUCUUGAAAAAAAAAAAAAAAAGAUAAUUAUUCAGCCCUAGAGUCAUUGUGAAAAGAUCUAUCUUCAGAUAUAAGGAAGAAACAAUCUUUUAUUUCUUAGGAUAAAUCUGUAGAAGGACCUCCAGACAGUGAAGGCCACUGACUACUUUAUACUCUGUAAGCCAUCCCUCCCUGGUAGGAAGGACUAUUUCCAAUCUUACAGAGUACCUCUCAGCAAAUAGACGUUUUCACAUAUACUGUGAUUCAUACAUCCCUAUGGCUGGUGACCUCUUUAAAAAGGAAAGGAAAAAGCCUAAUCAAACAAAAAGAUGCUGCUAGUAAUUCUUACCCUAUUGUGAAUCCUAUAUAAGCAAAUUUGUAUCUUUGUUUUUUCCUACAUUAGCAGAUCUAUUUGAUGUAUAUCUCUGAGUGCAGAAAAUAUUUUAUGGAAAAAUCAAUAUAUGGAAUUUCAAAUUCAGAAUUGCUGAUACACACUAUUUGGUUUCACAAUUUUAUCCUAGGAAAUAGUAUUAGAGAUUUCAAUUUCUGGCUUAAAUGGUAGAAUUAAUUACUCUUAACUCUUAAUUUUACUUCUGAGUUGAGGUCAAGGAACAGGCAGACACCUGCAGUUAACGUCUAUACCUCUCCAUGGCCAAGAGUUUUAAUUUUCUCGUCUUCAAUUUUGUAGAUGUUCAUCAUUACUAAAUGGAUUGAUUAGUAUUUUAUCUCCUCUCCUUGUCCUUACUUUCCCUCUGGUAAAUAUGUUAUAAACAGUGUAAGGCUCCUAAGAUAGAGUAGCUGGUAGGACUUAGAAGAGAAACAAAGGGCACUGAUAACUCACAUAAAUGGAAAAUUGGCUCUGGAAUAACUGACAACAUAUUCAAGUAUUUUAGUGCAGUGUCACUCUCAUUAAGAAGAAGAGAAUCAGUAAAUCUAUGUGACUCUAAACAUUCUAAUGAAAAAAGGAAUAUUCUGCCAAUUAUCUCACAUUUCUAAAUAUCUGGAUAUUGGCCAUUGUAAAGACAAAACAUACAGAUGAUGGACUUGUCUUUCCACCUCUCAUUUGCAUGGUUUGGAGCAUUGUACCUCCAGCCAUAGACUCUAAGGCAAUUUAUAUUUGCUUCCUCUUCCCUCUUGAGAGAAAACGAAAAUCUUAUUUUUCCAAGCAAUUAAAACUCUUCUGCUUCAGCUAGGAUGAAAGAAUUAGGAGUUCUGUCUCCUUGUAUCUAAUUGCAUGUUUCAUCUUUCUUGUUUUAAUGAUUGACAGAAAACUAAUAAACUGAGACAUCUUUGAAUCCAGGUUGAAUGUACUCUCUUGGUGGCCCCAUUGCUAAUUUGUUUGACUAUUUUGCAGGAUUUCUUACUCUGUAAUGGAAAGGUUUAUUAA
ensembl:lncRNA DLX6-AS1 DLX6 antisense RNA 1